UUGAGGGAUGUGAAGUCGCCCACAUGGUCCAGGGAUUCGGGGAGUGAGCAAACCAGGGUGGUGAGAGGCGGUGGGAGGGAUGAGGGGAAGGGGAAAUCAUCAACUUCAAAGUCGAGGUCAUCACCCACAUGGUCAAAGGAUUCAGGAAGUGAGCAAUCAAAAAGCGUGGAGGUAGGAAAGAAGGGUGAAGUGGAGGCUAAGAGCAUUGAAAUGGAGGUGAAGAGUGUUGCUAGUGGGAGAGAGCAUUGAAAUGGAGGUAAAGAGUGUCUCUAGUGGAAGUAGUAGUGAAAUGGAAGAAGGGGAGCUCGAGCCAGAACCUGAAUCAGUUCAUCAAGUUGUCAAGAAAGAUAAAAAUGAUAAUGAAAAAGGAGGGCAAGAGAAUGUUUUGUCUGAUGCUGAUCACAGAGAGGUUGAGCCUGAAAGAGAGGCAAAGGAUCAAGUAAAUAAGGUAGAAAGGGAACCUGAUAAAGCAAGUAUUUCUGAGGGAAAAGAUGGGAAAGAAGUUGAUGAGAUGCAAAAUUGUGAGAAGAAUUCAAAUGAUAAUAGUGUUACCGAAGACAAAGCUGGCAAUGUGGAUGAUGAUGAAAACGGUAAGGAGGCUGAGAGUUUGAAGGAAGCAAGCUGGUGCAAGGAGGAUGAAAGUCGGGAAAUGGUGAUUGAGAAGCCUAUAUUUUUGGAAGGUAAAAGUAGGCAAGAAAAGGAUAUCGAUCUUGAGGCAAAGGUGGAGGAAGUUGAAGUGUCGGAGUCAAAUAAAGAACUUAAUGGAGGGGCUGAAGUGGAUACUGGUCUGAUUACAGAGGGUCCAUGCCAAAGUUUGAAGGAUAAAGGCAAAAGUGUGGCCAUUUCACCAACCCUUGGUGCUGAUUCUGCUGAAGAUGGUGCAUGUAUUGGGAGAGAAUCUAGAAAACUCGCAACUUGCAGGGAUGAAGAUGAUGUGGAAGGACCAAGUACUAGGGG
rnacentral:misc_RNA from 1 species